rnacentral:rRNA from 1 species
UACGUAGGGUCCGAGCGUUGUCCGGAAUUAUUGGGCGUAAAGAGCUCGUAGGCGGUUCGUCGCGUCGGCUGUGAAAUCCCGAGGCUCAACCUCGGGUCUGCAGUCGAUACGGGCGGACUGGAGUUCGGCAGGGGAGACUGGAAUUCCUGGUGUAGCGGUGAAAUGCGCAGAUAUCAGGAGGAACACCGGUGGCGAAGGCGGGUCUCUGGGCCGAUACUGACGCUGAGGAGCGAAAGCGUGGGGAGCGAACAGG